UUUUAUAGAAAAAAACG
rnacentral:sRNA from 1 species